UAAAGAACGAAUCCCAUCAUACCAAUUAUCAUCAUCGGAUCUGCGUAACGUGAUCAAAUGAUGCUACAGUGAAUCAAGUGCAAAUCAAAUGACGAUUUAAAUGGAACCAAGUCGUUAAGUAGAACGCGAGUCACAAAUUGCUAGGGUAACAAGCGUGGUCAUUCUAUUCCAGGAUAUAUCCUUGAACUCACUUUAUAUAUAUAAAAGGACUGCAGUGUCAGUGGUAACGUCAGAGGCUCAGGGUCGUGGCUGGAGGUGUGAAUUGCCGUCAUUGUCAGGGUCAUUCGUUGCAGCUGAUAAAUCGAGGUUUAUCAUGGGAUUCUCGUGGUCGAUGGUUAUCAGGGAAGUUAUUUUGCGGUUGCUGCAAGAUAAGACUUGAUUAUUUUCCUCGAUGCCGACGUCUUACGCAAGCUCGGGUUACAACUUUUCCGAUUCACGAUUGGCAAGCACUGAUGAAAUGAAGCAGCGACGCUGUUGCCGUCGGAUAUAUAGGCGCGAGACCGACGCUAUCACUAUUUCCAUAGUAGAGUUUAUGACCGAUGCCAAACGUAGCAUUUACUUGUGAAACAGUCGUCUUAACCAUAUGAAAAUACUACAGUCAGAUAUUCUAAACACAAGUUCGGUCACCGACCUCGUAUACAAUUUCUAAAUCUGUCACCGUAAACCAUUCACAGGUUUUAACUCAUACAGUUGAAUUAUCCACAGAUGAAAAACUAAUUAAAUAAUCUUAGUGAUAACAAGACAUAUAUCCAGUAAAAGCAUAAUAAAUAGUGGCUGAUUAUCAUUAUUUUCUCUAUGCGUAUUUUUUUCACUGAACUAAAAUUGAUGUAAUCAUUGAGGCAGAGAAAGUUUUUACAUUGAUGUUUUCAAGAGAAUUUUGGUGCUUCACAAAUUUCAGUUGAUUAUAUUCGUUGUUUGUUAUUACAAGACUUAAGUAAUCAUUAAAUGUUUUCAUCUCCUAUCGUGAAGUAAAGAAUUUUAUUAUUCGUUUUACAGCGAUAUUGACAGUUUCGUAAUUAUGUCAUAAUCCAAUUAUCUUAUCAAAUUCACUGUAGACCCUAGGCUUUUAGACAAAAAUACGUACAUGGCUAAUGUUAAUGUUAAUGUUAAGCAUUAAAGAAUUUUUACAGCGAAAAAUUAAUAAAGCAAAAAUUGGUUAAGGCAUCCUGUAUCAAUACAGAAGUAAAAAAGACAUAA